rnacentral:rRNA from 1 species
AUUGAACGCUGGCGGCAGGCCUAACACAUGCAAGUCGAACGAGUGGCGGACGGGUGAGUAAUGUCUGGGAAACUGCCCGAUGGAGGGGGAUAACUACUGGCAACGGUAGCUAAUACCGCAUACCAUCGGAUGUGCCCAGAUGGGAUUGGCUUGUAGGGGAGGUAACGGCUCACCUAGGCGACGAUCCCUAGCUGGUCUGAGAGGAUGACCAGCCACACGGGAACUGAGACACGGCGCAGACGCAUACGAGAUGCAGCAGUGGGGAAGAUUGCACAAUGGGCGCAAGCCUGAUGCAGCCAUGCCGCGUGUAUGAAGAAGGCCUGCGGGUUGUAAAGUACUGUCAGCGGGGAGGCGUUACCCGCAGAAGAAGCACCGGCUAACUCCGUGCCAGCCGCCGCGGUAAUUC